UGAACGCUGGCGGAAUGCUUUACACAUGCACGUCGACCGGCAGCACGGGGGCAGCCCUGGUGGCGAGUGGCGAACGGGUGAGUAAUACAUCGGAACGUGCCCGGUCGUGGGGGAUAACGUAGCGAAAGUUACGCCAAUACCGCAUACGAUCUGAGGAUGAAAGCGGGGGACCUUCGGGCCUCGCGCGAUCGGAGCGGCCGAUGUCAGAUUAGGUAGUUGGUGGGGUAAAGGCCUACCAAGCCGACGAUCUGUAGCCGGUCUGAGAGGACGACCAGCCACACUGGGACUGAGACACGGCCCAGACUCCUACGGGAGGCAGCAGUGGGGAAUUUUGGACAAUGGGCGCAAGCCUGAUCCAGCCAUUCCGCGUGCAGGACGAAGGCCUUCGGGUUGUAAACUGCUUUUGUACGGAACGAAAAGGCUCUGGCUAAUACCUGGGGCUCAUGACGGUACCGUAAGAAUAAGCACCGGCUAACUACGUG
rnacentral:rRNA from 1 species